ACGAUGCCUCUGUACGUCACUUAUAAAAGACCAUGAGUAUGAACCGCGGUGUUUCAUAACGUGAAGACAUUCAAGAUAUUAGUGACUUUUAAUUCUCGUUCAGAUUAUAAAGGAAGACAUGCUGCCAAAAUAUCUCUUCGUUUUGUUAGCAUUCGUGUCUCCAUUAGUUUCUACUGUGUCUGGUGACCAUCACACUGUCACGUGUCAUUCAUGUGACUACAACAGCACUCAACCAAAAGAACAUCAGAAAUGUGGCAAAGAAACCAUACCAUGCGAAUACUGUCAGAAAUCCGUAAAAAUAUUACAAAAUGAUGUUUCCAUUAUUUCGAUGGGUUGUGGCAAGAUAAAUGAAUGCCAAGAUGUAAACAAAGCGUGCAAUGAUUGGAAAAAGUCCACCAAUAAUAGUAAAGAUUGCCUUCUCACUUGUUGUCAAACUGAUCAUUGCAACAUGAACAACUCUGCAAUCGAUUCAAAAUCAACUCAUGUUGCUCUGCUGCUUGUCGUUUGCUUCAGUUUUCUGCUUUUUAAUUUCAUAAUUGAUAAUUGUCAUGAGUCAGGACCAUGAUUGGGGUUUGUUGAUCAAGUGAAAGUACUUAAGAAGAGAAAAUUUUGUUUUGUAAAUUCUAGUUUCAUUAAACAGAACUCUAAAAUGAUAGGAGACUUUUUAGUAUAAUUCGAGAGUAUCUCUUUUCAUUUUCAAGAUAUUAAAUUUGUAGAAUAAUCGUUUUGUUCAAUAAAUGUCGCUAUGUUGCAUGAAUCGCAAAAAA